rnacentral:rRNA from 1 species
UAGACGGAGAGUUUGAUCCUGGCUCAGGGUUAACGCUGGCGGCGCGCAUAACACAUGCAAGUCGAGCGAGGGCUUAUUUCCCGCAAGGGAGAUGAGUUCCUAGCGGCGAACGGGUGAGUAACACGUGGGCAACCUUUCCUAUCGCGGGGGAUAACACCGGGAAACCGAUGCUAAUACCGCAUGUCGUCACCGGCCGCAUGCCCGGUGAAGAAAGCAGCAAUGCACGAUGGGGUGGGCCCGCGGCCUAUCAGCUAGUCGGUGGGGUAACGGCCUACCGAGGCGAUGACGGGUAGCUGGUCUGAGAGGACGGCCAGCCACACGGGGACUGAG